UGACACAAAAAUGGUUUUCCGUCUUUUUUCCUACCAUUUCCUUUAAAAGCCGUUAAAUAGCCUGUGUGUGACGUCAUUUGCGCUCAUUUGGACAUUUGAGCAAAUGUGCUCAGAUUGAGAGAAGCACUUGUUUCAAAAUCACGUCUAUCAUGUUAACUUCAUCUAAAAAGGAAUUAUUUAAUACUAAUACUAUUAAAAUUAUCUUUGGAAAUAAUUGCGACCGUUAAUAGCGCGAGCUGCCGCUCUCUCACACGCGCGCGCUGCAUAAAGGGGCUUUCACACAGGACGCGGCACGAGCUGCGCCUGCCGCUGGGUUCAGCGCAGCCCUUCAGAUACAAGGCGAUUUGCGCUAUGCUCGCCAGAGCGAAGUAGGCGCAGUUUUCAGAAUUUUUAGCGGGAGUUCUAUACGUCUAGUCAUUGGAUUGUUGUUCCACCUUUCGGUCAGCAGCAAAACAUGUAUCUGUCCCGUGCUAAGAAGCGAACAAUAGCAGUAGCCCUGUUAGUAAUAAGAAGAAAGAGAGCAGCAAGGAAGAAGAGGCUGUGGGUGCAUGAAACCCUGAGGUCCAGAGAACAGUUUGGGGAAUUCAGGCUUGCAAAGGAGCUCCGUUCUCACAGCGACCGGUUCCAGGUGCACUGAAAAAAAUGAAAAUGGGGGAUUGUUGAAUUUGCAAAAAUGCAUUUAGUAUUUCCAACAUGAUUAAUUUAUGUUUCUCAUCUAAACAUAUUUUAGUCUUGUGUCAUCCAAUUAAUGUUGAAGGAUGUUCAACUUUUUAGAAUUAAUCAUGUUGAAAUGUAAUAAUUUAGUUAUGUUUUCUCUGGAAACUCCGCCCCCUUGGAACGCGCGAGGAAAACUAAUUAACUGCUCUCCAGUAGGCCAUUUUCUCUCUCGCUGUGGAGCUGGAAGGUGCGUCGGGGUGGAUUUCAACAGUGUGAAACGAUAUCGGAUAUUCAUCUAUUCACAUGCAAUUUAAUUGGCAAAGGCUCUAUAUUAGUGUGAAUGUGGCAGUGCAAAGGGUGCUCAGUAGCAGUUUCCAGUAGAUUGGCACUACUAAACCAUUAUCGAGUCAAGCAUCCUCAUUUUGGACGUACAAGCCAGUAUCCAUGUACGUAUUCAGAAUGCCGUGCACAUUUAAGACAUGGAAUGCUUUAGUAGUACAUCACAGCAGAGUGCACUCUACACAAGCUAAUCAGAAACUAAAAGAAUUAUCUGUUUUUAGCUGCCACUUAUGUUCAUGUAAAAACUUGUCAAAUGAAAGGGAGUACUUUGUUCAUAUCCAUUUGCAUCUGAAGAAAAAUGAAAAUGUUAGUUGUAUGUUUGCUGGUUGUGGUUUUCACACUUGUAUAUAUGGAACCUUUAAAGCUCACAAGAGUCGGAAACAUACACCACACACUCUAGCUGAUUUUAAACCAGGAAUAGUGAAAACAACUACAGUAGCAUCUCUGUCAUUAGAUCAUUCACUUCUUGAUGGUCUGGAUGAGUGUAUAGAGGAGGACUCUGGUACAUCCCUGGAUUGGAAUAAUGAGGACAAGGCACUCUCAAGUGAUAUUGAGCAGCAGCUUGCAGCAGCCUUACUGAAGUUAGAAUAUUUGGUUCAUGUGCCAGGCACAGCUAUUGAUGAAUUCUUACAGGAAGUUUACCACUUGCUAAGCUCUGCAUCAGUCCCAGUAUCUAGAGGUUUUGUAACCGACAUCUUAAAGAGCCACAACCUCCAAAUUGACGAUUCUGUAGUUGAAGAAAUCGUUACUGGUCAAUUCCAGCGUUAUGGACGUGACAUUUGCAGUAAAAACUUGAAAUAUAAAUGAUCAGAGAAUGUAAAUGUUAACAAUAUACUGAAACAUCUGUUUAUAUUUUUCUAAACCCCUAACCAUAGAGUUUUGAUAUCAGAAAAAAAAAAGUCGUGCACGUGUUUUAUAUUUUAAAUCGGGCAAAUAUGCAUGCGUUACGGACGUGACAAAAAAGGACUUGAGUUUUUGGGAGUCGACAUACUUUGUAGAAAUUCUGCGAAUUCAAAUGCACAAGCCAAAAUAAAUAAUACCAGCCGAAAGGAUAAGGGUUGUCUCUCCAUGGAACAUAAAUUAUUUAUUUUAUUUUGUUUUUCAUUUUUGCUUUUAUGAGGAAAAACCAUUGUUACGGACGUGACGUCUCUCCGUUACGGACGUGACAGAUCUGAAAUUGUCACUUGUCUGACUCUGUCAAAUCAGAUAAAAUGCUUUAAAAACUUUAACCGAGAUCUAUUUCUGGGUCUCUGUUGGGUAUUUAAACCAACAAACAUUUCCCUCUGAGACAUGGUAAGGUUGCGCAAUUAGUAACGUUCAAACUGAAAUCAUCGCGUUGUAGAUCAGCUUGUGUUUGCGCGAGUGUGGUGUUAAAAUGUAACCAGUGCGGAUGUGUUCAAAACUGAAUUCAAUCAUGAUUAUUUGCUAAUGUGGUGUUUACUUUAGACCCCGAAUAAUAUAGAAUUUGCUAAUAUACAUCAUCAGCUAUAAUAAAUGUUUACCAAGUCCCGGAGGUCGCCGCGGUGUCCACUCAGAACAAGCUUCGGUGAAUUGUCCGCUUGUUAGUGUGUACUGUGUAGGCCUGUGUCUGUGUGAAGAGUGGUAUGCAAAAUACAAUCGUGUCACAAUGAUCGCAAUAGUAUGUUUGAUGGCAAUGUUUAUUCCCAGUUUGCGUUGCUAAAUGCGCAAUCGUGAUUCUAAAUAGCUGCAUUAUGUUUGUCAAAAUAGUUGCAGUGUAAGCCAAUGCUUUAGAAUAUAUUAUUUAUAGUCUCUAAAGAUUACUUAAUUAGUAGUUGUGUUUUACCAAGUUUAAUGGCUGGCAUUUGGAUGUUAAGAAGAUUAAGACGCAGCAAAACGAUCUGUGUGAAACAGAUGUGCAAAAAAAGGUGAGCAUAAAGUACUUACAGUAUUUUCAUUUAAUGUUUAAUGUGAACAUCUUUAAGAAAUACUUGAAAGAUAAAUAAUUAACAACAUGAACUUUUUUACAUAGGUCAACAUUAGUAACUGACUAGCGUUGAGGAUUUUGUAGCAACAAUAGCUCUGUAAAA